UCUAAUCACAUGAGAAAAGCGGUUCCCUCUGUGAUAACAAAGAUAAAAGCCAGGCAGAUCCUCGAUAGCAGAGGGAUUCCAACUGUCGAAGUUGACUUACACACUAACAAAGGGAUGUUCCGUGCCUCAGCUCCUAGCGGCGAUGUUACUGGCAUGUACGAAGCUGUUGAACUGCGUGAUGGAGACAAAGGGACAUAUCUUGGGAACAGUGUGACAAGAGCGGUUAAGAAUGUCAAUGAGAAAAUAUCUGAAGCAUUAAUUGGGAUGGAUCCAACACUUCAAUCUCAGAUUGAUCAGGCCAUGAUUGACUUGGAUAAAACUGAAAAGAAGGUAAAUUUUUGUUUUCAUUUUCACUGCUGUUAAUGUAAUCAGUAGUCUGCUUUAGUUCUUUGCGCUUAUUUUUGUGCAGCAAUUUUUAGACUUUCACAAUUUCUGGAUAACCAAAUACUUGUCUAAAUUUGUAUUUUGAUGAAUCUUUUAUUUUAAGGUUCUUCUUGGUUAGUGAAACAUAACAAGCGCAGACAUCUGACAACCUUCAGGGCAGUGUUGGAGGAUGAUCUUGUUAUUAAUAAUCUGAAUCUAGUUCAUUCUGAUGGAAUCUAGGCUAUGCUGGCGAAAGAUUAAUGCGUCUGUUUUGUUGGGUGUGAAAAGUGAAUUAUGUAAAUUUUAUUUAUGUUUCCAGAUAUGCUAGCUUGUGAGGAAGGUAUCUGCAUAUUAACUCAUUAAGAACAUCUGCAAACAGCAAUCUUUCCAUUCCUUCUGUGUAAUUGGUAAUGAGAAACAUUCUGUCAGUGUGCACAAGUGUUUGGAUUUCGGAGAUUUCUAAUGUGUCAAUUUUGGGAUUCUUACUAGUGGUUCAUUACAUUCCUUGGUGCAAACAUCUGAACUACUAUUAUUCAGACAUCUACAGAUGUUAUGGCGGCCUUUUGCAGUGGGCUAUAUCAUUGUUAAAGAUUCAGCCUUUAGUUUCAUGCUGUACAAUUGCAUCUGAAAAUGAUUUUAUUCUGAUUCUUGUUUUGCUUAAAUAUUUUGGGGCAUUCUGUUUCUUACUUUUAAGUUAUUUGAAGGGAGAACUUGGAGCAAAUGCUAUUUUAGCUGUAUCAAUUGCUGCAUGCAAAGCUGGGGCUGCUGAAAAGGAGGUUCCACUGUACAAACACAUUGCUGAUCUUUCUGGCAAAACCAACCUGACUCUUCCUGUCCCUGCCUUCACUGUCAUAAGUGGUGGUAAACAUUCUGGGAGUAAUCUAGCCAUUCAGGAAAUCAUGGUUCUCCCAGUUGGUGCUGGUAGAUUUGCUGAGGCAUUGCAAAUGGGCUCUGAAACAUAUCAUCAUUUAAAGGCUGUUAUUACAGAAAAAUAUGGUGAACAUGGAUGUAAUGUUGGUGAGGACGGUGGUUUUGCUCCAAACAUCUCCAGUGUUCAAGAAGGCUUGGAUCUUGUUAAAGAGGCCAUCAGCAGAACGGGUUAUAAUGAUAGAAUAAAAAUAGCAAUUGAUGUUGCUGCUACUGCUUUUUGCAUAGGUACCAAGUAUGAUUUGGACUUCAAAUCUCCUAAUAGGUCAGGGCAAAAUUUCAAGUCAGGAGAGGAUAUGAUUGAGAUGUACAAAGAACUAUGUACUGAGUACCCAAUAGUUUCAAUUGAAGAUCCAUUUGACAAGGAGGAUUGGGAACAUAUCAAGUAUUUUUCAAGCCUUGGACUGUGUCAGGUAGUAGGGGAUGGCUUGUUGAUGUCAAAUCCAAAACGUAUUGAGAGAGCAAUCCAUGAGUCUACUUGUAAUGCUCUUCUUCUCAAGAUAAACCAGAUUGGGACAGUAACAGAGGCCUUAGAAGUAGUGAAGCUGGCAAAGGAUGCCCACUGGGGAGUGGUGGUAUCACAUAGAAGUGGGGAAACAGAUGAUUCUUUCAUAUCUGAUUUAUCUGUUGGCCUGGCGACUGGUCAGAUCAAAGCAGGUGCUCCUUGCAGGGGAGAGCGACUGGCAAAAUACAACCAGGUCCAAUUCUGAUUCACUUGUGCAAGUUUUCUUCCACAUAGCAUUCUUCAGUGCUUUCUACAGUUUUUCUUUUUCUUUUCAUUUUUGAUUAGUUGGGAUGUUGGGUGGUUGGGGGUGUUGAGGGGCAUUGGCAGAGUAAAAUCCACCACUCAAUUCUUGCAAGUUUCAACUGUGCCACGUUUUUGACAAUCUAGAAUGUGGAAGACUAAUUUCUACUGCCAGUCGGCUUCUUUAAAUUAGCGCUGAUCAUCAACACCAUAAUGUAAUAAUCCAUAUUAGAAUUUUGGGUUAAGUGAAGCCUAUAAAUUUGCUAACAUUAUCCUUGCAUGAAGAUAGGAAUUUAAUUGGUUACUUUGUGAUUCCUAUUAUUUUAUUCCAAAAUGAAACCUUUAAGUCUUUAAUAUAGACACAGUGCAAGUUUAAUAAUCCUCUUCUUCUCAGGUGAAGGGUUUGGCAGAUAAUUGUGGUCCAUGUCUCUAGUAUGGCAUUCCUUGUUAUACCUCUAGAGUAGGAAUCACAUCCCUAUUAGUGAUAUUCUUGAGCUCCCCUCGUCACUCUAAAGUGACAUGCAUUUGUAUCAAGGAACUACCCACUUUUUAUCAAUAAAAAUAUUUGAGUUAAAUGCAACACAACAAUUGGGAUGUUCGCUAAUGAAAGAUGACUAUAUGUCUAGUGUAUGAAUGUAAUAGCCCUAGCUUUCUUUCAGUUGCUUCGCAUUGAGGAAGAACUUGGUGAUCAAGCAGUUUAUGCUGGUGACGAUUGGAGGCUGGCCUGAUCCUAAGGUUUUGAUACACUUUUUUUUUGUUAAUUUUUUAAGUUCUCCAUUUCAUUGAUUGAGGCUUUACAAGUAAAUAUACAGUCAUAUUGAGCAGCUUUGUGUUCUGGUGUAAUAUUGUUAGGCUUCCUGUUGGUUUUGAGUGAAUGUUUCUGGCUUAUGUAAUUUUUCUGAAGAAAAAUGAAGAUGGGUUGAGGAAUGUGCUGAUGAAUCUAAUUCAAAUAUUUUGAUUCAUCCGCACCAGUUGUGCACCUUCCUAUUGCAUUAUGCCAAUGCAAAAACCUCUUUGUUUUGAUUCAUUGGCCCUUUUUGUCCCACCAUUGGUGUAAAUGUGGAA
rnacentral:misc_RNA from 1 species